rnacentral:piRNA from 1 species
GGGGACAGCCCAGAUGAUGGUCAAUGGAGU